GGGUUGUGAGGUUAAGCGACUAAGCGUACACGGUGGAUGCCCUGGCAGUCAGAGGCGAUGAAGGACGUGCUAAUCUGCGAUAAGCGCCGGUAAGGUGAUAUGAACCGUUAUAACCGGCGAUUUCCGAAUGGGGAAACCCAGUGUGAUUCGUCACACUAUCAUUAACUGAAUCCAUAGGUUAAUGAGGCGAACCGGGGGAACUGAAACAUCUAAGUACCCCGAGGAAAAGAAAUCAACCGAGAUUCCCCCAGUAGCGGCGAGCGAACGGGGAGGAGCCCAGAGCCUGAAUCAGCAUGUGUGUUAGUGGAAGCGUCUGGAAAGGCGCGCGAUACAGGGUGACAGCCCCGUACACAAAAGCGCAUGUGCUGUGAGCUCGAUGAGUAGGGCGGGACACGUGGUAUCCUGUCUGAAUAUGGGGGGACCAUCCUCCAAGGCUAAAUACUCCUGACUGACCGAUAGUGAACCAGUACCGUGAGGGAAAGGCGAAAAGAACCCCGGCGAGGGGAGUGAAAAAGAACCUGAAACCGUGUACGUACAAGCAGUGGGAGCACCCUUCGGGG
rnacentral:rRNA from 4 species